rnacentral:rRNA from 1 species
UACGUAGGGCGCAAGCGUUAUCCGGAAUUAUUGGGCGUAAAGAGCUCGUAGGCGGUUUGUCGCGUCUGCUGUGAAAACUCGGGGCUCAACUCCGAGCUUGCAGUGGGUACGGGCAGACUAGAGUGUGGUAGGGGAGACUGGAAUUCCUGGUGUAGCGGUGGAAUGCGCAGAUAUCAGGAGGAACACCGAUGGCGAAGGCAGGUCUCUGGGCCAUUACUGACACUGAGAAGCGAAAGCAUGGGGAGCGAACAGG